rnacentral:lncRNA from 1 species
GUUGUGUUUAAUAUAUAUACCAUCUAUUUUAUUUUUAUUUAAUAUCCUGUUUAUAAAACAAUCAGAAAAAAUGAUUCCAGAAUAAAUUUGUAAUUUUGACCAAAGGAGCUGUAAAACCCUGAAAAGAAAUUUCCUUUUUAAUUGUUACAAAUUUUAAGCUCCCCUUUCUUUAUUCUUCAGAUAGAUAUCAAUUCUUUAAGGUAUUAUUCACAUAUAACAAGAGGAAUUUAAAUCAGAACUUGUAAUAAUCUUAUUACAAUUCUGUAUCUUCUAACCUUUUUAAAAAAUAGAUCUGAUUUCCAAAACUGUUACAUGAAGUAAAUUUUAUUAGUACACAUUGCAUUGUGACUUCAUAUAGAAGUGGGAAAAAGAAAUAAUUAUCUCAGAUUCCAAAAUAUCAUUUCUUAUUUCUCCAAUUACAAUUUUUUUUUUUUUCUGAGGCAAUGGGGUUAAGUGACUUGCCCUGCGUCACACAACUAGGAAGUGUUAAGUGUCUGAGGCCAGAUUUGAAUUCAGGUCUCCUGACUUCAGGGCUGGUGCUCUAACCACUACCACUGCACCAACUAGCUGCCUCUCCAAUUAUAUUUUAAUAGCUCUCAUAUUUCAAUAAUUCAGUUCAACAACAAAUUUAUAAAAUAUAUUUUAUAUGUAAAGUAUUUUAUUAUAUGGCAUUCAGAAACAAAGACUCAGUUCCAGCUAUCACAUACUUUAUAAAUUUAAUUGAGGAGAUAGGUAUGAAAAUAAAAUAUUGGGAGAUGCCUUAUUGAAAAAGUUAAAAAAACUGAAAAAUGUUAUUAAUCUUUUUUUUUUGAAUUUUAGUUAAAGCCAUUUCUUCCUUAUGAAUCUCUAUUUACCUUUUCCUACCUCAUUACUUUUCUUUAUAUUGUUCCCUAUGUUUGGAAUAACUUUCUGAGCCUUUUUUUUUUCUUCUGAAAUUCUAGCUGUAUUUCAAGGCCCACAUCAAGCAAUACUGUGUAUAUAAAGCUUUUAUUGGUCCUUCUAAACUUAUAUGACUCUUUUAAUUCUUAAAUACAUUUCAUAGAUUCUUCUUUCUCCCAUACUUAUAGCUUAGUAAACACUGAUAAAGUAGCUACUAUGUGCCAGUCAAGGGUUAGAAAGAUUAAAAAAAAGACAUUUCUUGCCCUCAAAGAAUUGCAAUGUACAUAAAAUGACACAUAAUAUAAAAGGAAAUGAAGAAAUUGGGAGUUUGCACUACCUGGUGCUGCGACAUGUAGAAAAAUUACAGAAGUUGCUAGAGUGCAGCAAAGUGAGAAAUGAGAUGUUUGUUUUGAGUCCCCUCCUUUGAAAUUCAUGGUUCUUCUCUCCAGUCAGAGGAUAUCUUACUUAUCUUCCCUUCUAGAUUAUUAUAAUUUGAGGAUAAGAAUUGUGUAUCCUAUUAUUUUUAUCCAUUCCUACUAUUUGAAUUUGUUGAAUAAUUAAAAUAUUCAUCAAUAUAUGUGCUGUGGUAAAUUCAUACAUAGUUAUGGAAAAGAGUUCUACAAAAUGUUCUAUAAAAGAUAUUCUAUAAACCAAAUGUCUAAAAUAGGUUAUUGAAAACAUCUAAUUCUUUGCAAGAUUUGAUUGUUAGGUCUUCUGGCAAGUGCAGUAGGUAGGGUAGAUUGCAUUUAUUUGGUAAUACAAAUGGUAGUUUGCAUUAUUUGUGCUAGCCAUAGAUUAAAGAAAAAUUUUGGAGGACAUUGUACAUUUCAUUCUCAUUAAUUAUAGGAAUAUACAACAGACUCAGAGGAGAAAGAAAAGAAAACUGAUGUAUUAGUUCACAAUGAUAUUAGUAAACAAAUAGAUUGUGAAACUCCCAAUAUUCCCAAUGAGCUACAAGUUCAUAGUACAUUAGACAAACGUGCUACUAGUAAAGAUAAGUUAUUGUUUUGACAGGGCUCCCGAUUUCAUCAUUUUAGGAAGUUCACAAGGAAUAAAUUUCUAGUGAUGCACAUUAGUUACUGUUCUAGGGCAUCUAGUCUUACCAAGGAACUUGGGGGCUAAGAAAUUCAGUGUCUUAUCACACACACCCAAAAUAUCAGCAAUGGAAACUGACCUCAGGGCUUCCUAAUUCCAAACUGACCCUGUAUCCACUAUAUUGUGCUGUGCCUCAAGUUGUAAAACAUGCUUACAAAAGUUUCAUUUGGUAAAAUGCCAUUAUAAACUAUUAAAUGUUAAGUUUAUUUUUGAAAGAAAAUGGUUCUAUAUUCUCACAUAAAAUUACCACUUAGACAUUAACUUCUGUUUUUUGAAAGAUCCUAUUUUGUUCAUAAUCCCCAAGUCCAAAUAUUUCUCUCUUCAUCUGAUUUUGUUUCCUGAAUUUUUUUGUCUCCUGUCAUUUUCAUUAAAUUUUUCCUCAAUCAAUUCUGAGUAGAUAUUUGAACAUCUUUCAUAUUCUCAGUAGCCUAUGUUUCAAUUAUUAAUGUGGUUAUUAACCUAUAUUUUUAUAGCCAUGAUAUCAACAUUAAGAUCAGAAGAAAAAGAUAGUCACUUUGUGAUUCAGAUGUAUUUUCUAUUAAGUUAUUUUGAAACUUCAAUAUUGAUUGUUACUUUUAAAAUUACCUUUUAGAUUUACUAAUUUACUAAUCACUGUAAUUGCAUGGGUGGAAUUAGAAUGGGAAUUUUAGAGCUGGAAGGGAUUUUAGAAAUAAUCUAAUACAACUACCCAUUUAAGACAAGGGGAAGGCACAGCCCAGAGAAAAGUCAGGUAACUAGUCUAUGGUCUCACAACUAGUUUAGUGAAAAGCCAAACAGACAAUCCAAUGAUUCUAAUUUUCAGGACUUUAUGCUUUCUACUCUCCUCCUUACCAGUUUCAAAAUGCCUUUUAGUCAAUCAUUCAAUGAACAAAUAUAGUAUCUUAUGCUGUUCUAGGGAUUGAGUUAUAUUCCAAUAAUAGACACUUUAGACAAAUACAACCCUACUUAUCUACUACAUGAUAGCCUGUAAGUUAGGGGAUAGGACAUAGGCAGAUUAGUUGAUUUUAUGGCCAAUUCUUAGCAAAUUUCUGUGUAACUUCUAUAUACAACUGCUGAGGUCAAUAUGAAGGCCAAUGGCAGAGUCAGUUGUGCUUAAUAGAAAGACAUAAUGAAAGGUCAUAAUUAGGGCAUAAUGAUAGGGUCAUAUUCUGAUUGGCAGAGAGGAAAGAGAGAGAUGCCAAGAAUGCCAAGAGAAAGGAUUGGCAGAAGUAAUGAUGCUUUGCAAGAAAUGUAAAUCUUGAGGUUAGUCUGUUACAGAGGGCCAAUAAUAAAAGGCAUAAAUUAUUUUCCACAAAAACGAGAAUGUGAGUGGAUUCCUUGAAUGAUAUAUUGAAACAUAUUUUAGGAAAGCUUUUUAUGAUCAUUAUCAAAGACAAACUGGAACAGAGGUACAUUAUAGGCAAAAAGAUGUUCCAAUAGGAUGUAAGAUGAAAAACUGGAGUGGAUAUGGAAGUAGUAAAGGUUAAAUGAUAACUUAACCUUUACUACUUCCAUAUAGCUAUUAAUUGGUUGCAAAGAGCAAAGGAGAUAAUUGAGUUUUAAGACUAAGCACCUGGAAAAAUGUAGUUAUCACAAAUAGAAAUGAGGAAGUUGGAAAGGGUAGGGAGGCUUAUGGGAUUAUUGAGUAAGGUAACUUUAGUGUGUUAGUUAACAGGAAACCUAUCAAUGGAGUUAUCUCAAGAGAUAGUUUAAAUUUUAGGGACUUGAGAGUAAAGUCAGAUGGUUUCCAUGUUUUCUGGCAAAAGAUCAAUGUGGAUCACACCACAUUAACUUUUAUAACUUUGAUAGGCUGAGUUGAAGAGAUUAGCUCUCAGUUUUUUAUGGUAAAUAACCAAAGGCAGAGAGGCAUAAAGUGUGAAGACAAGAAAAGGGCAAUGAGUAUGCUUAAGCUUAUUAGUAUUUGUAAAAUGGAAAAUAGAGACUGUUUUUUUUUUUUUUUUUUUUACCAGCUACCACCAUAUAGAUAAAAAAUCAUGAUCCAAAAGAGGUUUGGAAAUCAUCAGGUGAAUUAAAGACAUCAAGCAUGAGUACAAGAAAUUAAAGAGGAAAAAACAUAAUCUAAGUGUGAGAGACCUCUAAGAGAAGGCAGGCAGGCAAAAUGCCAUGAUAAGAAUACCCUAUUGAAGCAUUCAUUCUACAAAUCCUAUAUUGGCAACUAAUAAAUCUAUUUUGGAUGAUGCUGUAAUUGAAUUAUGUUGUUUAAUUACCAUUGAAAAUAAAACUUUUGUCCUUUUCUCAGAUCAUCCAGGGAAAAAUGCUAGUGCAAAGGUAAUUACAUUGAUACUUUAAAUUUAUUUUCUGACACAUACUGAAAACUUUCUUGUUAUUUAGUUAUCUUGUUUCAUAGCCUAUUCAACUCACUCUUGAAAGAGUCUUUAACAAACCAAGAUUAGAAAAAAGGAGUCAAGGAAAAACCAAAAUUACAUAAAGUUGAUAAUUCCAUAAUUUAGAAAGAAAAGAAAUAUAUUUAAGGACUUUUCAGUAUUAUUUUUUCCCCUUCCUCCCCAUUGUAUUACAGAUUUCAUAAACAACUUUUGAGUUAAAUGAUGCUGAUGAUAUUGAUAUUUUUCUUUUUUUCCCUUUUAAUUACAACUAUGAGGAUAAAUGAAUUUUUAAAAAAAUCACACCUAAUAGAAGAUGCAUCCUAUAGUCUUUUUUUUUUUUGAAUUUUGUGUUUUUAACACCUUAUUUCAAAGUUGCAUUUUUAUACUUCUUGGCUCUUUAUUGCAUGAAGUCACAUGAAUCCAAUACUAUCUGUAUUCUCCAAUUCAAGUAUUAUAUACGAACCAAUUACUGUCUCAUAUGCAUGUCAAAUGCUUCCUGUUUGACUUUAGGAUGCAAAGAUAAAAACAAACGGUUAUUAGCCAUAAGGGAUUUUCUUUGUGUGAAGGAAUACAACAUAAAGAUCUGGAAUAAAGAAGACAAGGGAGAAGAGAUGCUCUGAGAAAAUUGUGGGGAGAGCAUAAAAGGUUAAUAAAUGUGGAAGGAAGAUUUCAUAGGUGAUUCUUCCUGAAAUAAAGAAGUAGGAUAAUAAAGAAUAAAAAUAGCAAAAUAAAACAAUAAAAAUAAAGAUUAAAAAAAAAGAAGGCAAGAGAAGGGUCUAUUUAAGUGCCUUAAGAAGAUUACUUGACAGCUUUGUAUAGAAUAAACCAGAGAAGGUAGGAAUCAGAGAAAGAAGACCAGGUAGUAAUUAAUUGCAAAAAUCCAGGUAAAAGUUGAUAAGAUCAUGAAUGUAGAAAGGUAGAUUUGGGAAUGAAUAAAAGGGAGGUGAUGACACUUACCGUGGAGUGCUGGUUUUUAAGGGAGAACAGAAAAUGACAAUACUAAUGAUUAAGAAGGUAGAUGAAGGAAAGACAGGAAAGAAGGAGUUCAUACUUGAUUAUUUUAAAUUUGAAGAUCCAGAAAGACAAGAGAAGUCCAGGAGUCAGACCUAAAAUUCACUUUUUGUCCAGUGAAAGCAGAGGUCAACCAGACUAACAUCUAACAUCUCCCUUUCUCUGGACAUUACAUCUCUUCUAAUAAAGUAUCAGAUUGCUCUCGGUUUUCUGGCAGCUAUAAAGUGUAAUGCUCAGGCUAGCUAGCUUUCUGGAGGUCCUCUGAAGGGCCUUGGAUUCAGCAGGAUAAACACCACGAGAAUGAACUAGAGUCCAAAGUCAUUAUUGUCUCUUGACAGUCUGUAGCUAUCAUAGUCUGACCCAGUCUCAGUCUGACCCAAUCUCCUUCAGCAGUCUACCAAUCUGACUUCUGUCUGACUUCCUGUCCCCAGUUCAUAUAUAUAUAUAUAUACACACCCUAUUAUAUCAUUGCAGCAUACUGAAUAUGCUAGAACUAGAAAAUUCCUCUGAAUUAACAUCUUGUUUCAAGUAUACUUCUGCAGAGUUCUGGCUCUCUACAUACAAUAAGGUGAUAUUAAACAUAUAAUUCAACCCCCCGCCCCCAACAAAUUCUGCAAAACUUUUAUGUAUCCAUAAUCCUCCAAAUUAAGGUUUGAGCUUGUGUUUGUCAUUUCAAUUUGUUGAGUACUUUCAUAAAAUUUAAGUAUACAAAAAACUUGCACUUUUUGUAUAAAUGCAAUCUUGUCAUAUUUUAAAAGGGAAUAUUUAAACUAAAACUAUUUUUAUUGAAUUAGUAAUGUAUAUUUCAAGUUAAAGGCUAAUCUUCAAGAAGAAAGAUUAUUCUGGGCAAAAAAAACCUUAUGCUCAAAUGAAAGUAGUUCAAAUUUGAAAAAAAAUGAUCCAACUAGGCUUAGAAGAAAUGACAGUUCAUUUUUUAA